rnacentral:lncRNA from 1 species
GAGUCGAGGGCCUACCAAAGCCCAGGAACUCUGAAAAACGGAUUCCUCCAGCCCUGGGACGGCGGCACCUCCUACCUGCUGCCGCCCGACCCCGGCUGCGAGUCAGGAAGAGGAUCAGGCCGAUGAGCAAAACUGCCGCCACCAGAUACACCCAGGGCCCCACCAUGACGACAGACAGCCGGGCAGCGCAGCCAGCGCGCCUGCGGGAUCCGGAUCGCCAGGCCCCGCCCACUACCGUCCGCCCUGCCCAGCCGCUCGCUGAGCUCCGCCCCCACCCUGGGCUUGACCUGGGCCUCAGUUAACUGAAGAGUCCCUGAUGCCACAUUUGCUUGCCAUCCCAGUGCUCGGGAAGUGGAGACUCGGAGACCAACAUUUCAAGGUCGUCUCUGGCUAUAUGGCAACAUGGAGGUCGUCUGCAUUUAAUGACGCUGACUGCUCUUCCAGUGGGCCAGGGUUCAGUUCGCAGCACCCACAUAGUGGCUUACAACCUUCUAUUACUUCAAUUCCAGGGGACCCAAAACCCUCUUCAGACCCUCUCGAGUGUCAGGCACGCAGGUUAUACACAGAUAUGCAUACCUGCGAAACACUCAUACACGUCAAAUAAGUGUUUAAGAAAAAAAGAAAGAAAAAGGAAGAAAAUAGUGGGGCGAGUAAGUAGGGGACUAAGCUGGGGUUGUAGAUUAGUAGUAGAGCACUCAUGGCCAAGGCCCUUAGUUUAAUUUGGAGCACUGAAAAAUGCAACGUGUGUACGAAUAUCUUAUUAAUACUGCAAGUUAGGCAUCCAUUGUAUUACUUUCUGUAAAUGUGGAAUGUUUUGUAAUUUGUUUCUCAAUGUUGAUAAACCUAAGGCCUUCCAGGCGUCAGGCAAGCGCUGUUACGGUAAGCUUUAUCUCUAGCACCUACGUUCUUUCCGUAUAUUUGGAGAUUUAGAUCCAUGUUCGGCUGAAGGUUGAGGCUUUGCUGGAAUUUUAUCGCAGCUGCCCCCCACCUUUAGUUGUUUGGUUUUGUUCUGAGACAGGGUAUCUGGUAGCCUAGGCUGGCCUUGGACUUGGUGUAUAGUAGAUGGUGACUUUAAACUGAUCCUUUGCUUCUGCCUCAUAAGUGCCUGGAUUAUAUGGGAGUACAGGUGUGCACCCUGAUGUCCAGACGCUCCUCCAUCUUUUGAGGAUGGGUUGUUUUGUUUUAGUUCUUUGAGCUCUCAUUAUAUGGCCCUGCCUGGCCUAGAACUCAAUAUGUACACAAGGCUGGCCACAAACUUAGAGGGAUCUGCUUGCCUCUUCCUUGGUUAUAAUUAAAGGCAUGUGGCACC